GAUUUAUUCAUUUCGUGUUCCCGGCUAAUUGAUUUCAACAAGUCUGGAUAAAAGGCCACAAAUAAGAAAAUUUCUUUAUUCAACCUGUCAACCCAGCAUGGGAAUUAACCAGGCGUGGCGUAACCUAUUUGCCAUCGUAUCCGCUACUGCCUGUGAUAAUGCAAAUCUGAACUUUCUCCAUAAACGGCGAACGCAUGCAAGAACCUCAUUAAGCAUAAACUUGGACAAUACUAAAUUCAACACCUUUCUUUCAGCUUUGCAAGUUGCUGCUAAAAUGUUUAAAUUUGGGAAGUUGAGGUUUCUCACUUGUCUUUGGAAUUUGACAAAUUGAUUGACCGAUAUGGAGAAAUCAGGUGGGGUUCACAAAUGGAAUAAAUUAUGCUCCAUUUCCGGUGCAAUGCACGCGACCUAACAUGGAGAUGAAGUACACAACACAACUACAAAUACAGUACAUCGUGGGUGAUUGAUGUGAAAAAUAAAUUACAUUUUGAGUG